AUAACAAUACAGGACUCUUUAGAGGCCCUGUAAUUGUAAUGAGUCCACUUGAAAUCCUUUAAUCCUGAUCAAUAUGAGGGCAAGUCUGGUGCAGAGCGACUGACCCAUGCGUGCUGCAGCUGAAACUGCUCGCACAGUCUCUCCAGCAUGUG